rnacentral:lncRNA from 1 species
AGGACCAGUGGUAGCAGGAAGGCAGGGAGAAGGGGGUGCAGAGAGGCUGAGGCGGGUGGAAAUGGAAAGCAAAGGUGGACAGGAUUUAGGGGGCCGAGGGCGGAGAGUGGGGAAGGCCAGAGCUGGGACCCAAGACCCACCUUUGACAUUGCUCAGGGACAGGGAACGCUCCUGGUCAGCCAGUCCAGGCCCCAGCCGUCCGCUGCCACCACUGUCCUUCUGCCGGGCCACGGCCACCGCAAUGCCCACGGGCGGGUGUCGCACCUCUGCCUCUCCCUGGGCACCCGAGCUCUCGCGCCCGAACGCCUUGGCACUCUCGGGCCUCUCGGGGUCCCGCUUCAGCUGCCGGCCUCCGCCCGCCGCGGGGCCCCCGGGGUGCGGCAGGCGGGCCUGGGCGCGCGGGGCGCCCGCCGCCGUGGGGGCCGGCUCGGGUUUCAUGGUGCCCAGGCCUCCGAAAGGGCUCUUCUUGCCGCAGCCACCGGGGCGCACAGCCACGGCCUCGCGGGCGAAACUGCCGCUGUACUUGAUGAGGCUCUGCAUGGCCGAGGCCUCCCCGGGCCCGUGCGCCGGGGCGUGCACGUCGGAGCCGGGCCGGGCACAGGCGGCCGUGGCGCGGGGCAGCGCGCCCCCGGGGUCCAGGUAGGCCUUCUUGGAGGCGGCCGCCUCCUCCUCGGCGCGGCUGGCGUGGUGGUGCUGCGCGGCCAGCACGGCCAUCUGCGUGGUGGCGAAGUUGCCCAGCUCGAAAGGCUUCCACUUGGGCUCAGGGCCGGCGGGCGGGGGCGGCCGCGCGGGCUCCAGGCCGAAGAGCUUGGCGGCCUGCUGGGGGGCGGCGGCGGCGGGCCCGCGGGGCGCUCGCUCGCAGGCCCGCGGCUCGGCCUCGGGCUUGAGCAGCUCCUUGGGCGGGAGGUAGGCCCGGGCGUCCGGGGAGGCGCGCGCGGCCCGCGCCGGCGGGGCCUCGGCGGGCGGCGGCCGCUUGAGCGAGCGGAUGACCGAGUUCUUCUCGCGCAGCGCCUCGGGCCGGUCGGGCGGCGGCCGCGGGGACCCGGGCGGGGCCUGCAGGACGCCGGGCCUGCCCACCUCGCGCUCCCGGGCCCGGGCGUCGCGCGCCUGCGACGCGAUCUGGAUGGGCCCCGGGCGCUCGUCGAAGGCCUCCACGGAAGGCACGAAGGUGGGCGCCACCACGCGGUGCUCGCGGCCGGGCUCGCGCGCCGCCGCCGCCGCCGCCGCCGCUGCCGCCGCGGCGGGGAAGAUGGUGUAGACGCCGGCGGGCGCGGGCUGUGGCGCGGCGAAGGCCCCGGCCGGGGCGGCGGGGGGCGCGGGCGGGCCCUUGGGCGGCGGCGGCAGCGGCGAGGGGCAGGGGCACGGCCCGGGCAGCAGGGCCUCCGCGCGCCGCAGCCGCGCGCUCUCGUCCUGGCGCGCCGCCUCCUUGGCCACCAGCGCGGGGAGCCCCGCGUCGCCCGCGCCGUUGCAGAGGCUCAGCGCCGGGGGCGGGGGCGGCGGCGGCGGCGGCGGCGGCGGCGGCGGGUUCUUGCCCUUGCACUCGGCGGCUGCGGGGCCCGGCGCGCGCGGCGGCCCCAGCUCGGCCAGGAAGGGGGACAGGCGCUCGGCGAGGCGCGGCGGCCCGCGGUCCUGGCGGCCCUCGGCGCGCGCCUCCUGGGUCAGGUCCACCACGCCGCGCGGCCCCGCAGCCUCCUCCCGGGCCCUCGGGUCCUUCUUGCCGAACAGCGGGGGCGGCUCCCCGCCGCGGCCCGCCCGCUCCUUGGCUGGACCUUCCCGCGAAGAGCCUUUGGCCGGGGCGCUGGACGAGUGGCCGCCCGGGGUCCUGGAGGAGGGCGCGUGAGAGUGCAGGGAGCCCGGGGCCCCCGGGGCGGGCAGGUAGAAGCCAUCUGCGGAGGAGAGAGCGAGAGCGCGGGGCUGAGCGAGUGCCCCUCCACCCGGCCACCCAGAGGCGGGGUCCCUGAGGCGCCCCUGCCCCGCCCAACACCGGGAUUAAGGAGGAGAGCAGGGGCAGCCCGGGUGGCUCAGCGGUUUAGGGCCGUCUUCGGCCCAAGGCCUGAUCCUGCAGACCCAGGAUGGAGUCCCACGACAGGCUCCCUGCAUAGAGCCUGCUUCUCCCUCUGCCUGUGUCUCCUCUGCCUCUCUCUCUCUCUCUCUGUGUGUCUCUCAUGA